rnacentral:lncRNA from 1 species
UUCAACAAACCAACUUCAAAGUAAUAUUCAACCAAUCUCAUACAAAUUGGAGGGUACUAGUAUUCAACAAACCUACAAUGUGUCAUUUUCUGCAUAUCUUUCCCAACACCAAUGAUCUUACAGACAUAAUGAGUUGGGAUCUUCGUAUUUUCCUUGCCACCUGUAAAUCGAUUUAUAGACAUAAUGAGUUGAAGCUGAAGCAUCAUGGGUGCAUUGUCCUUGUCAAUUGUAACAGCUCUAAGAGCAUCUGCAUCGGUCUACCCGGUCCCACCUACUCGAGUAAGGUGGAGAUCGAGUAGGCCGAUGCUAAGCCGAUUUUCUAAUUUUUUUUUGUUUAAUAGGCAACGGCUAUUUAAAUUUAUUCUAUUAAUAGUUUCAUUAAUUUCUUUUUUAAAUUUUAAUUAUAAUCAAAUGAAUAGGUCAAUUUAAUAAAUACAAUUAAUUAGUGAUAAUAUUCAAAACUGUAUAAUAAUACCUAUGCAUUUUAUUUUUAUAGUAUAAAAUUACAAGUGUUAAACGUGCAUCGCACGUUCUUACUGCUAGUUAUGUAAAAAAACACUUGCAACUGCAUUUCGUUUCUAAGCAGAAGAGCCAUUUUUAACAGUAAUAUCGUUUUUCAAGCUGUUUUCAGCACUAAUAUAACCUUAACCUUAUUUUCCAUUCUCAUACCAGUAACACUAGGUCCAAAAUUUCAUCGAAAAAAUUAUACCUCGAGCUUCCCAAGCAGAUCAUGUAUGGUGGAAUUGUGAUACUCUUCUUCAGUCAACAAAGAGCUUCACAAGAAUACCAAUGCACAAUCCAAACCACUCAGAUUAAGCCCACGUUUGGUUGGGUGUUUUUAGAGGUUGGAAAGGGAAUCAAGUAAUUGAAUCCAUUACUUGUUGUUUGGUUUGGGUAAUGAGAUAAUCAUUACCCUUACUUAAGGGUAACCCAAUCACCCAAUUUGUUACCCCUCAAAAUAGAGGGGAAACAAAAGAAAGGGAUUCCCUUACUAAUGAUUCAUUUUCAUUGUUAAACCAAACACUCAAUAAAAGUAAUGGUUAUUGUUACCAUUCCACUCCUUUAUUUGAUUCCAUUCCCUUUCCAUUCCUCUACUUGAACCAAACGAGCACUAAUACCAAAACAUAUUCUCAGUCAUUUCUCAACCAAAACGACCUUCCAUUUACUCAAUCCCUUUAACGAAGCAAACAAAUUUCCAAAACCAUACUUUUUCACAUAUAACACCAAAAUACCUAUUUAAUUGUUAAAUUGAAAGUCUUAUUACUACUUUCAUCUGUUUAUAAAGACAAGGAAAAACAUGCAAUUGAUAAAGUAAAACCAAAUAUUCUGUCCUGCAAGUUAGAACUUACUUGUAAGAUUCUAAUGGUGAUGCAAAUUGAAACUUUGUUGUGUUAUAUGAUAUGCUCAACAUUCUUUCAUUGGUGUGCCUUUUUCCAUUGCCCUUGUUGCUGGGAUUGGGUUCAACUUCCACAACUUCCAUCUUCAAUAUUGUUGUCUGAAUUUUUGUCAUCAUCCUUCUCUUCAGAGUCAACAACUACGCUGUCGUCGUUCUUCGCCACGAGCAAGCUCGUUAGCGCCACUAAUUGAGGCUGCCUCGCCUCCAUGCUCCUCAGAAGCUCCCCUAUCUCUGCCAUGGCUUUAAAAUCAUACUCACUCAAGGGCAGUAAUGUUUGGAGUUAAAACAAUAACAGAUAGUUCAAGUUUGAUGGGAUGUAACUAACAAUAAACAAACUGCAAUAAGGCUGGAGGCUGGAUAUAAUGAAAUAAAAUUAAUAGCUUUUUGAAGAAAAAAUCAUAAAAACAGAACAAUAGACACAUGCAUGAGAGAUUGGCAUUUAGUUCUACAGAAAUUAUAUUAAUGGAUCUCAUAUAUCCUCAUGUCAUCUUGAAAUUUAUUUGAUUCUAUUAGAAAAUCUAUAACAAAGCUCAAAAUGGCUCAAUAAGAGCUUGACAGAUACUCAAAAUGCCCCUCUAAAUCCACCUGAAAAUUAGACAACAAAUCAGCCAAGAACUAAGGGAUUAAACUUCAUAUUACCUCUUUUCCCAGAACAAGAUAAUUUAGAUUUUCAUCGUUUCUAUUUGUAUAUGAUUUUAGACAUCUCCCCAACAAAAUCCCAGUUUAUUAGCAAAUAUUUUGAAGCCAUUUCUGAAGAUUCCACAACAGCAUUCUUGACUUCAUUGCUGACACAUGCUUUUGCAGUACCCUUGAUCAUGGGAUUAUUGUGGAAACGUUGAAGAGCCUCCAAUACUUCAAAUCCAACAAAAACUAAUUCUUGCUACAAGGAGAAGGUGUAAAUUGGUUAAAAGUGGUAGUGCCUACACCUUUNAAAACAAAGCUCAAAAUGGCUCAAUAAGAGCUUGACAGUUACUCAAAAUGCCCCUCCAAAUCCACAUGAAAAGUAGACAAGAUAUGAGGUACAAGAUUCACAUUAGCCAAGAAAAGUAAUACCACUUUUGUGUCUAUGGGCAUAAAUAGUGUUGUGAAUCCUUAGUUUAGAAGUGAUCUACUCAAAAUAAUUCCUUAUAAUGAUCAAUGAAGUUUGAGUCUUUGAGAAUUAUAUCGAUUGUGAAACAAAUUGGUAUCCAAACAUGCAUCUUCUUCAACCCUCGACAUAAUAAUCCUAUCAACUAAAGUUCAACAAAGAAUGGAGUAUAUGGAAUUACAAAAAAAAAAAAUGAAAAUAAGUUGACCAAGUCAUCAUGGAGAAAAUGGAUACUCACUUAUUCCUUCUUCACUUGCUUCACCUCCUAAUUCUUUAGAGGCACCUCAAAAUCAACUCAUUUCACUUUCCUCUGUUUCACUUUGUUCCCUUUCACUUUCUUCAGAAUCAGCUGUAUCAACAACACAAAGAAGAAUUCAUGGAAAAAAGUUGAAUUGA